rnacentral:rRNA from 1 species
GGUCUACAGAGUUCAUUGUAGAUCAGACCUGCUCAAUGCAUUGUAAAUAGCCGCGGUACUCUGACCGUGCGAAGGUAGCAUAAUAAUUAGCCCUUUAAUUGGGGGCUGGAAUGAACGGUUUAACUGGGUAGAGCUGUCUCGUAAUUAUACCUUUAAUUUUACUUACCAGUAAAAAGGCUGGUAUUACAAUAAAGGACAAGAAGACCCUAUCGAGCUUCACAGGAGAACUCUUCACAUCCGAGGGAGAAAUAUCCUGUUGGACUGGGGCAGUAAAAGAUAUUUAUCUUUCAGAUACUAUGGGCUAUAACCCUAGCCAAAUCUAGAAUUUCUAAAAGGAAAAUAAGUUACCGUAGGGAUAACAGCGUAAUUUUACUAGAGAGAACGUAUUGACAGUAAAGUUUGCGACCUCGAUGUUGGAUUAAGGCACCUUUCUCAUGUAGCAGUAAGAAGAGGUAGUCUGUUCGACUAUUAAACCCUUCCA